rnacentral:tRNA from 1 species
GCCCCUCUGGCGGAAUUGGUAGACGCGCGGGAUUCAAAAUCCCGUUCCUAUGGAGUGCCGGUUCGAUUCCGGCGGGGGGCACCA